rnacentral:lncRNA from 1 species
GUGAUACUGUUCUUAAUAUUCAGGGAGGAAGACGAUGAUAUUACUCCCAAAACAGACGGCUGUACACCCUCUGCACACCGAGGGUCUACCCCCAUCUGUGAAAUAGUUUAUAAUUUCCAGAGGGGGAGAUGAUAUCACUCCGAAUAUCGUAAACAGGCUGCUUCGGUAGAUUGCAAAUGACCUGCUUUCUUUCGGAUCCCGGGCUGCUUUCGGACACCUGUCGAAUAGUAAAUCCCAAGUAAGGUACCUGCGGUCGUCGGCAGAUCUGAAUUUUCUUCUUGGACACCUAAUACCCACAGUCCUCCAGAGACCGAGAGGUUGAUGUCACUCCCAAUAUCGGAGGAAGUAUACACCCCCGUGUGAGAUGGUCCUUAAUAAUAUUCCACGGCGGAGGGGGUGAUAUGACUACAUACAUGGCAGAAAGUGGAAACCUCCCAGGGAUAUUGUUCCCACGAUCCUGGAGGGAAGAAGAUGAUGUUACUUUCAAUAUGACAGAAGGUGGAUGAAGUGGUGGACUGCCCCUCCACACCUGUGGACACGCCCCCACUGAUAUUCCUUCUAAUUGCAGCGUGGGAGAGGAGGAUAUGACACGCGAUAUCGCAGGGAGUAGAAACACCCCUGUGAUACUGUUCUUAAUAUUCAGGGAGGAAGAGGAUGAUAUUACUCCCAAUACAGACGGGUGUACACCCUCUGUACACCGAGGGUGUACACCUGUCUGUGAAAGAGUUCGUAAUCUCCAGAGGGGGAGAUGAUAUUACUCACAAUAUGGUAAAGAGGCUGUGAGUCCACGGAGGAUCCUCAGAGCCAGCGGGGGAAGAGGGGCUGGCUCUCAGUCCCCGCCUCGCGGGGGUGACUCCCCCCAGUGCGAUGGGGGUCCUAAGAGCCAGUGGGGGAAGAGGGGCUGGCUCUGAGACCCCGCCUCGCGGGGGGUGCCUCCCCGCCCUGUGAUGGGGGUCCGAAGAGCCAGAAGGCUUAGAGGGGCUGGCUCUCAGUCCCCGCCUCGCGGGGGGUGCCUCCUCCCCCUGCGAUGGGGGUCGUAAGAGCCACUGGGGGAAUAGGGGCUUGCUCUCAGUCACCGCCUCGCGGGGGGUGCCUCCUUUCCUUUCUACAUAGACACAGUGACAGUCUGAUCUCUCUUUCUUUUCCCUACAGAUGGACACGCCCCCACUGAUAUUGUUUUUAAUGCAGCGUGGGAGGGGAGGAUAUGACACGCGAUAUCGCAGCUGAGUGCCACGUGCUGACGUCACUAAGAUCAAUACAGCAAACUCUGAAAGAUGGACAGAGAGACAGGAGAUGGUCCUUUAUAAUGCAGUGUGAUCUGUGCUGCAAUAGAGAUGGAAGAGUGUUCUGAUCGGCUGGAAAACAACGCACAUGGGAAGCUGUACAGAAAUGAGUGGGGAAAGUUUUGGAAGCUAGAAGUUCAAAACGAGGUGUUGGCAGCACCAUGCUCUCUCUGAAGAUGCUAGGAAGAAUCUGCUCCAUGCCUUUCCAUUCGCUUCUGGGGUUUCCUGCAAGCCCUGACAUUCCUUGGCUUGUAGAUGCAUCACCCCAGUUUCCGCCCCCAUCAUCACAUGGCCUCCUCUCUGUGUGUGCCUCUGCGUUCCCUCUAUUCUUCUUCUAAGGACACCGACACCAGUCAUAGUGGAUUAAGUGUCCACUCCUAACCAAUUACAUCUGCAACAACCCUAUUUCCAAAUAAAGUCACAUUCUAAGAUUCCUAGGGAGAACAUGAAUUUUUGGGGGUGUGUGGAUACUGUUCAACCUGGGACAUGGAGUAAAUAAAUGGCAAGGAAGAUUACAGAUGACUUUAAGCUAAAGAGGGAGAUAGGGUUAAAUGUAGGACUUUUUUUUUCCAGGACGGGAGAGGUUUAAACAUGUUACUACAUUGAAUAAAUGAAAUAACC